rnacentral:rRNA from 1 species
AACGACGCUGGCGGCAGGCUUAACACAUGCAAGUCGAACGGGUGUAGCAAUACAUCAGUGGCAGACGGGUGAGUAACACGUGGGAACCUUCCUAGGGGUACGGAACAACUCAGGGAAACUUGAGCUAAUACCGUAUACGUCCGUGAGGAGAAAGAUUUAUCGCCCUUAGACGGGCCCGCGUCGGAUUAGCUAGUUGGUGGGUAACGGCCUACCAAGGCGACGAUCCGUAGCUGAUCUUAGAGGAUGAUCAGCCACACUGGGACUGAGACACGGCCCAGACUCCUACGGGAGGCAGCAGUGGGGAAUCUUGGACAAUGGGCGCAAGCCUGAUCCAGCCAUGCCGCGUGAGUGAAGAAGGUCUUCGGAUUGUAAAGCUCUUUUGCCAGGGACGAUAAUGACGGUACCUGGAGAAUAAGCCCCGGCAAACUUCGUG